rnacentral:rRNA from 1 species
UAAGGAAUAUUGGUCAAUGCCCGCAAGGGUGAACCAGCCAUUCCGCGUGGAGGAUGAAGGCCCUAUGGGUUGUAAACUUCUUUUAGAUGGGAAGAAAAUGCUAGAUUUUUCUGGUACUGACGGUACCAUCAGAAUAAGCACCGGCUAACUCCGUGCCAGCAGCCGCGGUAAUACGGAGGGUGCGAGCGUUAUCCGGAAUUACUGGGUUUAAAGGGUGCGUAGGCGGAUGAUUAAGUCUAAGGUGAAAGUUUGUCGCUUAACGAUAAAAUUGCCUUGGAUACUGGUUAUCUUGAAUAAGGAUGAGGAUGGCGGAAUGUGGCAUGUAGCGGUGAAAUGCAUAGAUAUGCCAUAGAACACCAAUUGCGAAGGCAGCUAUCUGGUCUUUUAUUGACGCUGAGGCACGAAAGCGUGGGGAUCGAACA